rnacentral:tRNA from 1 species
CCUUCGAUAGCUCAGAUGGUAGAGUGAAGGAUUGUAGUGGUAAUAGCAGGGCAUCCUUAGGUCUCUGGUUUGACUCUGGCUCGAAGGA